CAAGCGUUAUCCGGAAUUAUUGGGCGUAAAGCGUUUGUAGGCGGGCGAGUGUGUUUAAUGUUAAAUCUUAAAGCUCAACUUUGAAAUUGCGUUAAAAACUGCUUGUCUUGAGUAUGGUAGGGGUAAAGGGAAUUCCCAGUGUAGCGGUGAAAUGCGUAGAUAUUGGGAAGAACACUAAACAGCGAAGGCACUUUACUAGGCUAAUACUGACGCUGAGAAACGAAAGGUAAGGUAGCGAAACGGAUUAGAUACCCGUGUAGUCUUACCCGUAAACUAUGGACACUAAACGGUAAAUUUUUAAUUUACUGUUAAAGCUAACGCGUUAAGUGUCCCGCCUGGGGAGUAUGCUUGCAAAAGUGAAACUCAAAGGAAUUGACGGGGGCCCGCACAAGCGGUGGAGCAUGUGGUUUAAUUCGACGGUACACGAAGAACCUUACCAGGAUUUGACAUGCUAGAUAGUUGCUUGAAAGAGUAACGUGCCGUAAGGAAUCUAGACACAGGUGGUGCAUGGCUGUCGUCAGUUCGUGUUGUGAAAUGUUGGGUUAAGUCCCGCAACGAACGCAACCCUUGUCUUCAGUUAUUUUCUAAAGAGACUGCCUGUAAUAAACAGGAGGAAGGUAAGGAUGAGGUCAAGUCAUCAUACCCCUUAUGUCCUGGGCUACACACGUGCUACAAUGGGAAAGACAAUGAGCUGCAAAUCUGUAAAUUUAAGCAAAUCUCUUAAACUUUCUCGUAGUUCGGAUUGUGGGCUGCAACUCGCCCACAUGAAGUUGGAAUCGCUAGUAAUCGCCAGUCAGCUAUAUGGCGGUGAAUCCGUUCCCGGGCCU
rnacentral:rRNA from 1 species